rnacentral:rRNA from 1 species
CCUACGGGGGGCAGCAGUAGGGAAUAUUGCUCAAUGGGGGAAACCCUGACGCAGCAACGCCGCGUGGAGGAUGAAGGUUUUCGGAUUGUAAACUCCUUUUGUUAGAGAAGAUAAUGACGGUAUCUAACGAAUAAGCACCGGCUAACUCCGUGCCAGCAGCCGCGGUAAUACGGAGGGUGCAAGCGUUACUCGGAAUCACUGGGCGGAAAGAGCGCGUAGGCGGGAUAGCAAGUCAGAUGUGAAAUCCUAUGGCUUAACCAUAGAACUGCAUUUGAAACUGUUAUUCUAGAGUAUGGGAGAGGUAGGUGGAAUUCUUGGUGUAGGGGUAAAAUCCGUAGAGAUCAAGAGGAAUACUCAUUGCGAAGGCGACCUGCUAGAACAUAACUGACGCUGAUGCGCGAAAGCGUGGGGAGCAAACAGGAUUAGAUACCCCAGUAGUC